CCUACGGGGGGCAGCAGUGGGGAAUCUUGCACAAUGGACGAAAGUCUGAUGCAGCGACUCUGCGUGAAGGAUGAAGCCUUACGGGGUGUAAACUUCUUUUCUGGUGGAAGACGAAUGACGGUACACCAGGAAUAAGGGACGGCUAACUACGUGCCAGCAGCCGCGGUAAUACGUAGGUCCCGAGCGUUAUCCGGAGUUACUGGGCGUAAAGUGUCCGUAGCCUGAUAUAUAAGUCCGUUUUCAAAUAUCUCGGCUCAACCGAGCAGAGGGAAUGG
rnacentral:rRNA from 1 species